GCCAAGGGGGGUCUAUCUGCAGUCGACGACUCUGGUAUUGAUUGGUGCUUGCAUCAUGAUUUACAUUUGAGUGAGUGGCGAACUGGUGAGUAACACGUGGGAAACCUGCCCAGAAGCGGGGGAUAACACCUGGAAACAGAUGCUAAUACCGCAUAACAACUUGGACCGCAUGGUCCGAGUUUGAAAGAUGGCUUCGGCUAUCACUUUUGGAUGGUCCCGCGGCGUAUUAGCUAGAUGGUGGGGUAACGGCUCACCAUGGCAAUGAUACGUAGCCGACCUGAGAGGGUAAUCGGCCACAUUGGGACUGAGACACGGCCCAAACUCCUACGGGAGGCAGCAGUAGGGAAUCUUCCACAAUGGACGAAAGUCUGAUGGAGCAACGCCGCGUGAGUGAAGAAGGGUUUCGGCUCGUAAAACUCUGUUGUUAAAGAAGAACAUAUCUGAGAGUAACUGUUCAGGUAUUGACGGUAUUUAACCAGAAAGCCACGGCUAACUACGUGCCAGCAGCCGCGGUAAUACGUAGGUGGCAAGCGUUGUCCGGAUUUAUUGGGCGUAAAGCGAGCGCAGGCGGUUUUUUAAGUCUGAUGUGAAAGCCUUCGGCUCAACCGAAGAAGUGCAUCGGAAACUGGGAAACUUGAGUGCAGAAGAGGACAGUGGAACUCCAUGUGUAGCGGUGAAAUGCGUAGAUAUAUGGAAGAACACCAGUGGCGAAGGCGGCUGUCUGGUCUGUAACUGACGCUGAGGCUCGAAAGUAUGGGUAGCAAACAGGAUUAGAUACCCUGGUAGUCCAUACCGUAAACGAUGAAUGCUAAGUGUUGGAGGGUUUCCGCCCUUCAGUGCUGCAGCUAACGCAUUAAGCAUUCCGCCUGGGGAGUACGGCCGCAAGGCUGAAACUCAAAGGAAUUGACGGGGGCCCGCACAAGCGGUGGAGCAUGUGGUUUAAUUCGAAGCUACGCGAAGAACCUUACCAGGUCUUGACAUACUAUGCAAAUCUAAGAGAUUAGACGUUUCCCUUCGGGGACAUGGAUACAGGGUGGUGCAUGAUUGUCGUCAGCUCGUGUCGUGAGAUGUUGGGUUAAGUCCCGCAACGAGCGCAACCCUUAUUAUCAGGUUGCCCAGCAUUAAAGCUGGUCACUCUGAUGAGACUGCCCGGUGACGACGAAGCAUGUGGGAAUGAACGUCGAAUCCAUCAAUGACCCCUUUAAUGUGGC
rnacentral:rRNA from 1 species